UGGUGGAGUGAUUUGUCUGGUUAAUUCCGUUAACGAACGAGACCUCGACCUGCUAAACAGUUCGGCGAAUCUUUUCUGAUUCGUACGCGACUUCUUAGAGGGACUUUGCCUGUGUAGGGCAAGGAGGUUCGAGGCAAUAACA
rnacentral:rRNA from 1 species